UACGGAGGGGGCGAGCGUUAUUCGGAAUUAUUGGGCGUAAAGGGCGCGUAGGCGGCUGUACAAGUCAAAGGUGAAAUCCCUCGGCUCAACUGAGGAACUGCCUUUGAAACUGUACGGCUUGAGUCCGGAAGAGGAGAGUGGAAUUCCCGGUGUAGCGGUGAAAUGCGCAGAUAUCGGGAAGAACACCCGUGGCGAAGGCGGCUCUCUGGGACGGUACUGACGCUGAGACGCGAAAGCGUGGGGAGCGAACAGG
rnacentral:rRNA from 1 species